ACAGCUUGCUGCUUUGCUGACGAGUGGCGGACGGGUGAGUAAUGUCUGGGAAACUGCCUGAUGGAGGGGGAUAACUACUGGAAACGGUAGCUAAUACCGCAUAACGUCUCAAGACCAAAGAGGGGGACCUUCGGGCCUCUUGCCAUCUGAUGUGCCCAGAUGGGAUUAGCUAGUAGGUGGGGUAACGGCUCACCUAGGCGACGAUCCCUAGCUGGUCUGAGAGGAUGACCAGCCACACUGGAACUGAGACACGGUCCAGACUCCUACGGGAGGCAGCAGUGGGGAAUAUUGCACAAUGGGCGCAAGCCUGAUGCAGCCAUGCCGCGUGUAUGAAGAAGGCCUUCGGGUUG
rnacentral:rRNA from 1 species